AUGUCAGAAUUAAAAACAUUGAGAGCUACGCCCACGAACGCGUUCCCGAACUUACAGCGAACCUAUGACUUUCUACAGCAUCAGGUUCAUUUCUUUGGGCAGACUGUUGGUCUGAAGAGGUCGGUGGGACAAAAGGAUUACUUUGAUAUUGAAUUUAAGACUCGAGAGGGUGCCAUGGAAACUCUUCAGGAAUGCCAUGUGAAGGACCUGGACUUUGAAUGGGCGCCCUGCAAUUUCGCGCACAAAAUGGCAACAGGGCUGGCUGUGGUAUCUUUUCAACCCCCUCGGUUCGAUUAUGGUGUGUUCUGCGAGGAGCCGUCAUUGCCGCUCCCUUGCAAUAAUCCAUACCCCAAUAAAUGGACUACACCCAAAACGAAAAAAAGAAAAAGAAAUGAGCAACAAGAGCCAGAACCAAUUCCAGAAGCAGUGUGUCAUUACGCGAGGAGGGUUCAGCCACCUCCGGUAAACCCAUGUCCUCCAUUUGAUACACGCGAGUGGCCCAAGUUCCCGAGAUAUUCGACAUUGGUCAAUUCCGCAUGA
rnacentral:rRNA from 1 species